CUCAGACUCCUGUAACCUCACUGUGACCUGCAGUACACAGGACUCUCACAUCAGCAGCACUUUUAGAUGUGACACCAAAACCUGCAGUCAGGAGGGAGGAGAGCAAUCAGAGGUCACAACAUCUGGUGCUUCUCUCCAUGUCUACCUGGUGGAUGGCUCAAUCAUCUGUAACCACAGCAACCAGGUCAACUGGACCAAAGACACUGAAAUGGCUGAACAUCUUUGCAUCCAACAUGACAAAAAAGAGAACACCGAAAAUACCAUAUAUGCAGUUACUAAGGUAAGUGUCAAGUUUUUUUUUAACAUCACAUAACUUGCCAGACAAACCAG